ensembl:snRNA U6 U6 spliceosomal RNA
GUGCUCACUUGGGCAGCACAUACACUAAAAUUGGAACUAGAUAGAGAUUGGCAUGGCCCCUCAGCAAGAAUGACAGGCAAAUGCGUGAAGCCUUCAAUAAGAAAUAAAAAAUUUUU